rnacentral:rRNA from 1 species
GUGUCAGCCGCCGCGGUAAGACGAACCGUACAAACGUUAUUCGGAAUCACUGGGCUUAAAGGGUGCGUAGGCGGCCCGGCAAGUUGGGUGUGAAAUCCCUCGGCUCAACCGAGGAAUUGCGCUCAAAACUGCCGGGCUCGAGGGAGAUAGAGGUGAGCGGAACUUAGGGUGGAGCGGUGAAAUGCGUUGAUAUCCUAAGGAACACCGGUAGCGAAAGCGGCUCACUGGGUCUCUUCUGACGCUGAGUGCACGAAAGCUAGGGGAGCGAAGAGGAUUAGAUACCCUCGUAGUCCUAGCUGUAAACGAUGAGCACUUGGUUGGAGGGUCCUCCAUAGCCCUCCAGCCGGAGCGAAAGUGUUAAGUGCUCCGCCUGGGGAGUAUGGUCGCAAGGCUGAA